AGAGUUUGAUCCUGGCUCAGAACGAACGCUGGCGGCGCGUCUUAAGCAUGCAAGUCGAACGGCAAGAGAGAAGCUUGCUUCUCUCCUAGAGUGGCGGACUGGUGAGGAACACGUGGGUAAUCUACCCUUAAGAUGGGGAUAGCUGCUAGAAAUAGCAGGUAAUACCGAAUACACUCAGCGCUUCAUAAGAGGUAUUGAGGAAAGGAAGCUACGGCUUCGCUUGAGGAUGAGCUUGCGUCCCAUUAGCUAGUUGGUGAGGUAAAGGCCCACCAAGGCGACGAUGGGUAUCCGGCCUGAGAGGGUGAUCGGACACAUUGGGACUGAGAUACGGCCCAAACUCCUACGGGAGGCAGCAGCUAAGAAUAUUCCGCAAUGGACGAAAGUCUGACGGAGCGACGCCGCGUGGAUGAAGAAGGCUGAAAAGUUGUAAAAUCCUUUUGUUGAUGAAGAAUAAGGGUGAGAGGGAAUGCUCAUCUGAUGACGGUAAUCGACGAAUAAGCCCCGGCUAAUUACGUGCCAGCAGCCGCGGUAACACGUAAGGGGCGAGCGUUGUUCGGAAUUAUUGGGCGUAAAGGGCAUGUAGGCGGUUAUGUAAGCCUGAUGUGAAAUCCUGGGGCUUAACCCUAGAAUAGCAUUGGGUACUGUGUAACUUGAAUUACGGAAGGGAAACUGGAAUUCCAAGUGUAGGGGUGGAAUCUGUAGAUAUUUGGAAGAACACCGGUGGCGAAGGCGGGUUUCUGGCCGAUAAUUGACGCUGAGAUGCGAAAGUGUGGGGAUCGAACAGGAUUAGAUACCCUGGUAGUCCACACCGUAAACGAUGUACACUAGGUGUUGGGGCAAGAGCUUCAGUGCCAAAGCAAACGCGAUAAGUGUACCGCCUGGGGAGUAUGCCCGCAAGGGUGAAACUCA
rnacentral:rRNA from 1 species